AGGGACUUCUGAAGGGUCGCGAGGCACCAAAACAAUGCAUUUUUUUAGCUUUAAUUUAAAAGUUGGUUUAUUACAAACUUUUGCUUCUAAAGUAAGAGAUUUAGCCAUCGCAAUAAAAACUUUCCCAUCAUCUUUAUGCCAAUAAAUAAAAAAAAACACCAUUUUCAGUUUAUUUACCUUAAAAUGUAAUAAAAACCUGAGAAAACCCAAUAUUGCACAGUUAUUGUCAGCAAUAUAAAGAAACUCAGCAGAAAUCUGUUUGUAUUUCUGGAUGUUUAUGAGCCUCUGUGGCCCCAAGCUUUAAAUUUUUAACGACGGUCCUGAAAUAUUUAGAGGGAAAGUCUCAGCGGCCGAACUGUCAAACUGUCAACUCUUCAGUCUGAGUCACCAAACGCUUCAGACUCACAGGAGCCGCUUUUAGAAAGUCCGAAACACUCUGACCUUUAAGACCUGCAACCAGACCAACGUUUGUUUCAGGAUAUUAUUAUUAUUUAUCAUUUUAUUUUGCUAAAAAUAAACUAAUUUAGUGAAAAUCAGCUGUGAUUUGGUGAUUCAAGAUGUUAUAAGUGAUAAAAACAAAGAUGUUUCUCGCUCUUUUCUCACCCUGACUAACCGUGAGCGACAGGUUCAGUCCUCUGCCAACAUGGCUCUCGUUUCCCUCGCCGUGGUUCCCAUGGUAACCGGUCCCUGAAUAAUGGCUGCUGCUGCCAGCUAUGCGCCCGCAGCGGGGAGGAUGAGGAAGACGGUUGGGGGUUUCUGAGAACAACCCGAUGGCGACGUUUUAGGAAAACAGCUGCUGAGACCAUCCUGGGAAACUCGUUUUACUGUUGAAAACAUUUUCCUCCAUGUUGGUCGCGGCGACGGAUUCUUGGGGAUUUUCAUCAACAAUCCACACGGACUAGUCAAUUUAGUCUGAUAAUGUCACGACUUUAUCCCCGUAACUAACAUUACAAGUUGGUGCUGGUAACGUUACAAUUUUAUUUGCAUCCAUCAGACCGCCGCUGCCGCGCGUCCGUCUCCUUCCCGCUCAUCUCCCCGCGUCUGACUCAUCAGAUGCUCCGUCUCCGCUCCUCACAGCAUCCGCUUCUCCAUGGCAACCAGGCUGGGAUCCAGCGCGGAGGUCGGCGACAUCCCCGCCGCCGCUGCUGACGGACCGACGUCCCUUUGGCUUCUCCGAGCGGGAAGCAAGCCGCCACGCCGUCGCUGGGAGCCGGGAUGGCGUCACGCUUACAUAAUAAUAACGGAGCGUCUCUGGGCAUUACACUAAUGAAAACGCUGCUUCUGCCGCCGCCACCAUCAUCAUCAUCAUCGUCGUCGUCGCUGCCGGAGCCGCUGGGAUAAUUGUGUUACUAAGCUCUGACGGAUCAUGGAGGCUCCCCGCCCCCGCCCACCAUAAUCCCCCCCAUCGAGGCUUAGUCUUCUCGCCACUUAAACAGCGACCCAUCUACUUCAGCCGACACACCCCCUCCAUCAGCACAGCUACGGAACACCAGAAAUGUCCAAACCACUGAUACGCAUGUUCACAGAGUUCGGUAGUAACCAGCUACAUUUAUCCAGUUCUAUUUACUCGAGUAUCUUUUUUGAAAAAUUUCACUUUUGCCUUGCUGUACUUCUUACUUUAACUUGAGUAAUUUUUUUAUGAAGCAUUUUUCUGGAUUUUCUACCCACUGAAUGAAAAGCAAAGAUUCACCUGACACAGAAAAACACCUGCAGUUUUUGUUAAAGUUUCUUAAGUUUGUUUUUAUUAAAGAAACUGAUUUGGAAAA